rnacentral:rRNA from 1 species
UUAUGUGAACCUACCUAUUGUUGCUUCGGCGGACUCGCCCCAGCCGGACGCGGACUGGACCAGCGGCCGCCGGGGACCCUCAAACUCUUGUAUUAUCAGCAUCUUCUGAAUACGCCGCAAGGCAAAACAAAUAAAUCAAAACUUUCAACAACGGAUCUCUUGGCUCUGGCAUCGAUGAAGAACGCAGCGAAACGCGAUAAGUAAUGUGAAUUGCAGAAUCCAGUGAAUCAUCGAAUCUUUGAACGCACAUUGCGCCCGCCAGCAUUCUGGCGGGCAUGCCUGUUCGAGCGUCAUUUCAACCCUCGACCUCCCUUUGGGGAAGUCGGCGUUGGGGACCGGCAGCACACCGCCGGCCCUGAAAUGGAGUGGCGGCCCGUCCGCGGCGACCUCUGCGUAGUAAUCCAACUCGCACCGGAACCCCGACGUGGCCACGCCGUAAAACACCCAACUUCUGAACGUUGACCUCGAAUCAGGUAGGACUACCCGCUGAACUUAAGCAUAUCAAUAAGCGGAGGAA